GAUACCGCCAUUCUAAUACGUCGUAUCCCACAUUUAGAAAAUUUUACAGCAGACGGUAAAAACGAUUUAUUUUUAACAUUGAUUAAAUGGAAUUUGACAGAUGAAAAUAUUUAUUUAAAAAUAGUUAUUAAACUAUUUGACCUUUAAAAUUUUUAUAUGACUUGCAUAAUAUUGUUAUGAUUCCAUUUUUCAAAAAAAGUCAAUUUGUCAAAUUUUGUGGGAUACGACGUAUUAGAAUGGCAGUAUCGAUAUGUCUCUUUGUUAAAAUUAUUUU